UGAGAUACCGCACGAAAUCGCUAAUCUUCGAAAUCUAGGGGAUUUAGUGCUUGGAAUGAACAACCUAGUUGGUGUGUUACCAGCUCCAAUCUUCAACAUGUCAACACUGAAGGUACUUAUCCUCAUAAACAACUCUCUCAGCGGAAGUCUUCCAUCAAGAAUAGACCUUUCACUUCCAACGGUUGAGGUUCUUAUCUUGUCACUUAAUAGAUUUUCUGGAACCAUUCCUAGUUCCAUCACCAAUGCUUCUAAGCUCGCCUUGCUAGAAUUGGGAGUAAACACAUUUUCGGGAUUUAUUCCAAACACAAUUGGUAAUUUAAGAAACCUUGAGUGGCUCGGCUUGGGUAAUAACUACUUGACAUCUUCAACCUCAAAAUUGAGCUUUCUUUCCUCUUUGGCAAAUUGCAAGAAAUUAAGAGACAUAGGCUUAACAGGCAAUCCACUCAACGGUAUCCUUCCAAGUUCAAUAGGUAAUCUUUCCAUGUCUUUGAAAACACUUUACAUCGGCAAUUGCAGUAUUAGUGGCAACAUUCCUCAAUCAAUUGGCAAUUUAAGCAACUUAUUGGCCUUAGUAUUAGAAGUCAAUAAAUUGACUGGACCUAUCCCAACUACAUUCGGCCGACUGCAGAAACUCCAAGGCUUAUAUCUUGCAUUCAAUAAGUUGGUAGGUUCAUUCCCAGAUGAGCUUUGCCAUCUAGCAAGGCUGGAUCAAUUGGUCUUAUUUGGCAAUAAGCUUUCAGGAUCUAUACCUUCAUGCUUAAGUAAUCUCACUUCUCUGAGAUCUCUCUACUUAGGGUCCAAUAGGUUUACUUCUGUCAUUCCCUCAACUUUCUGGAGCCUAAAAGACAUCUUGUUCUUUGACUUUUCAUCAAAUUUCUUGGUGGGUCCUCUUUCUUCAGACAUAGGUAAUUUGAAGGUGCUUCUAGGAAUAAAUUUAUCAGAAAAUAACUUAUCGGGUGAUAUGCCAGCCACAAUUGGAGGACUAAAAAACCUUCAAAUUAUGGACCUAGCAUAUAAUAGAUUGGAAGGCCCAAUUCCUGAAUCAUUUGGUGACUUGACAAGUUUGGAGGUUUUGAAUUUGUCAAAUAAUAAAAUCUCCGGGUCUAUUCCAAAAUCCUUGGGGAAACUCUUUUACCUCCGAGAGUUAAAUCUCUCUUUCAAUGAACUAGAAGGUGAGAUUCCUAGUGGAGGAAUUUUUGCCAACUUCACAGCUGAGUCAUUUAUGGGAAAUGAGUUAUUGUGUGGUUUACCAAAUCUUCAAGUCCAACCAUGCAAAGUUAGCAAGCCGAGGACAGAACAUAAAUCAAGGAAAAAGAUACUUCUCAUUGUGAUUGUUUUGCCAUUGAGUAUUGCUCUAACGAUAGCAAUCACUCUAGCUCUCCAAUCUAAGCUGAUCGAAUGUGGAAAAAGAAGCACGGUGUUAUCAAAUGAUAGUAUCUUGUCAUCACAAGCAACACUAAGAAGAUUUUCAUACUUAGAACUUUUACGAGCAACAGAUAAUUUUGCUGAAAACAGCAUAAUUGGCAGAGGAGGUUUUGGUUCCGUUUAUGGAGCAAGACUUGAAGAUGGGAUGAAGAUUGCAAUAAAAGUGUUUCACCAGCAAUGUGCAAGCGCAUUGAAGAGUUUUGAGGCUGAAUGUGAAGUGUUAAAAAAUAUUCGCCAUCGAAACCUUAUCAAAGUUAUCAGCAGUUGCUCGAACGAUGACUUCAAAGCAUUAGUCCUAGAAUACAUGUCCAACGGGAGCUUAGGGGAUUGGCUGCAUUCGAGCAAUUACGUGCUGAAUAUUUUUCAAAGGUUGAACAUAAUGAUUGACGUUGCAUCAGCUUUAGAAUAUCUCCACUUUGAUCAUUCAACUCCUAUUAUUCAUUGUGACUUAAAGCCUAGUAAUGUAUUGUUGGAUGAAAAUAUGGUUGCUCAUUUGAGUGAUUUUGGCAUAGCAAAGCUUUUAAGUGGAGAGGAUGAGUCUACGAUGCGAACAAAAACCCUUGCCACUAUAGGUUAUAUGGCACCAGGUUUGCUUCAAACAACUUUUUUUUAAAGUUCAUUUUAAAUUUUCCAACUUAUUGAUUUUUACAAUCCUCAUAUCAAAAUGUUAUUGAUUAUUUAUCUAAUUGUGAAAUUAAUUUGAUUAAUAGAGUACGGCAUUGAAGGAGAAGUAUCUACAAAAAGUGAUGUUUACAGCUAUGGGAUUAUGUUGAUGGAAACUUUUACCAAGAAAAAACCCACAGAUGAAAUUUUUGUUGGGGAAUUGAGCUUAAAGCGUUGGGUUAAUGACUUGCUUCCUACUUCAUUAGUGGAAGUUGUGGACAAAACUCUGCUAAGUGGAGAGGAAAAACAUUCUGCAGCAAAGGAGCAAUGUCUGUUGUCUAUCUUUAGUUUGGCUCUGGAGUGUACAAUGGAAUCACCGGAAAAGAGGAUUAAUGCAAAAGAUAUUGUUACUAGAUUACUCAAGAUAAGAGACACAUUGAGUAAAAGGAUCGGAAAUUUAAGUUAAUUUCGUUUGCUUUCAUUGAUAGUUAAUCUGAAUUCAUGUAAUAAGUGUAGGAAUCUUAUAUCUUUUCCUUUCAUAUAUUUUUUUUUCUUGAGAAAACUGUUGUAGUCAUCUUGUUUCCAUGGACAGAGUUGAUUUAGUUCUUCCAAAAAAUGCUACUGAUGACCUUUGUUUAAUACUUUCUCUUUUUUUGCAUGUGUUUAGGUAGAACAGUGGUUUGGCUGCAGGCUAAGAAGUCUAACUACACUAAAAGAAUAUGAUUUAAUUUAUUAAACAAAACUUCAAGUUCAAGAAAAGUAUUUCACUGCCCCCAAUGCUUUGGACACCUACUUGUUGCGGACCGCCCAAUUCGCUAGCCCAAUUGCCCACAAUUUCGGGCUAGAGAGCCAACACAAGGCCAAGAGUGCUAGCUUGGCCCAAUUCCGAAAGGUUCUAGGCAACUCUAGCACAUGUGAACAUGUAAAUAUUCUAGAAUACUUUAUACAAUUCCAGCACAUGCAAAUAGCUAGGAAAUUGUAAAAUACUCUAGAGUUUGACCAAGUUUGGCAAAGUUAGGCAAAGUUAGGCAAAGCCUCCCCUAUAAAUAUGGGAUGGCAUUAGGCAUUUGUAUCCAAAAAGCUUUGUAAGCAACUUAAGCAUUGUAUUCUCUCUUUGUGCAAUACAAGUUUUCUUCUUUGGCUCAAUUGCUCUCUUCUCUAGUUCGAGAAGCUCUAGGCUUACUUAGCAACAUUCGGCAAAGUUGUCUAAGUGCCGCACGGGUUAGCUGCGCAAAACACUCAUCUCGUGACAAGUGGUAUCAGAGCUAAGGUUUGCACGCACGCAAAUUAGCUCACGAAGCAAUGGCCAACCCUUCGAACGUAGCACAAGAGGGUGUUGUUGGUGUGGAUGUUCCACCGGAACUAAGCCGUGGCCGAGAGGGAGAACGUGCCCAAGGCAAGACUCGCGGCAAGUCCAAGGCCCUAUCCGUGGAUGCGUUGGAGCCUCGUGUAGGCACUCUCGAAAUCGCAUUGUCCACCGCUCAAGAAAGCCUCGAGGGAUUGGAGGAACGAGUGGACGGACUCGAGGGAGAAUACGCCGAAUUCACGGUGGCAACCAAAGCUCUCAUCCAAGAACAAGCAAACACUCUUCGAGGUGAGUGUUCAAGACGAACUACGCGCUGUCCGUGCGGAAGUGGAUGAAGUCCGCUCGGAUUGGGCAUGGCACAAGCGCACACUCUCCUCAAGUCCAGCUUCCGCAAACUCGAGUGAUGCGCGCCGCAUUGACGUGCCAAAGCCCGACACCUACGAUGGCACACGCAAUGCCACAAUCGUGGAUAAUUUCCUCUUUGGUCUGGAUCAAUACUUUAAUGCCAUGGGUGUACGAGAUGAGGCAUCGAAAGUGGGCACUGCACCCACCUAUCUUAGAGGCGCUGCACAACUAUGGUGGCGUCGCAAACAUGGCGAGAUGGGCAAGGGCAUUUGCACCAUCGACAUUUGGUCCGACUUCAAGCAAGAACUCCGAAAGCAGUUCGCCCCAAGCAAUGCGGAGAAGGAAGCGCGAGCGCGCUUACGUCGCCUCAAGCAAUCGGGUAGCAUUCGGGACUACAUCAACGAGUUCACUACCCUUAUGUUGGAGAUAAGCGACAUGUCCAACAAGGAUUCACUCUUCUACUUCCAAGAUGGCCUCAAGGAUUGGGCCAAAACCGAGCUUGAUAGGCGUGGUGUUCAAACACUUGACGACGCCAUCGCCAUUGCGGAAUCGCUCACCGAAUACUCUACCCAAUCCAAAGACAAGAAGUCUAGCCAAGGCAAAGGUGGGGGAGAGAGUCGUAAGGACAAGGGCAACAACCGCAAAGAUUGGGGGCAGAAAAAGCCGCCUAGCAACAAGAGCUGGCAGGGAAAAUCGGAGGGCAAGAAGGAGGCGCCAAAGCCACGAAGCCCAUGCUUCAUAUGCAAUGGUCCUCAUUGGGUACGCGACUGUCCGGAGAAGCGGUCGCUUAAUAUUCUUGCUGCCCAACUCAAGAGCAACCCCACAAUGUCCGUGGAGGAACCCCAACUUAGCAUGGGUUCUCUCCAACGCCUCGGCGCCCUCAACCGCCAACAGCCCGCGCUAGUCAAGAAAGGGCUCAUGUAUGUUAGCGCAAAGGUAAACAGCCAGUCCGUUCGCGCGUUGCUAGACACGGGAGCAACACACAAUUUCGUGUCCGUAGAUGAGGCCAAGCGUUUAGGCCUCAAGGCCACCAAGGAAUGAGGCACAAUGAAGGCAGUAAACUCACCCGCCAAGCCAAUUGCGGGAAUUGCACAAGGCGUACACAUCACACUUGGUACGUGGAGCGGAAAGCUUGACUUCUCCAUCCUGCCCAUGGACGACUUCAAGAUGGUCCUGGGCAUGGAAUUCUUCGACCAAGUCUAUGCCUUCCCGCUGCCUACUACGAACUCCCUAAGCAUCCUCGAUGGGAGUAAAGCAUGCAUGGUACCCACGGAGCGAGGCAAGUCCGAGGAGAAGACACUCUCCACCAUGCAAUUCAAAAGGGCUUUCAAGAAGGACCCAAGCUUCUUGGUCUCCAUUCGGGAACUAAAUGAGGAAAGAAAUAGCGGAACGUCGCCAAGCCAAGUCCCUCCGCAAAUAUACAGAGUCCUCAAUGAGUACGAGGAUGUGAUGCCUCCAGAACUUCCGAAGAAGCUCCCACCUCGACGAGAGGUAGAUCAUGCGAUCGAGCUAGAACAAGGCGCGAAGCCAACAGCCUUGGCGCCCUACCGUAUGGCGCCAUCUGAAUUAGAGGAGUUGCGGAGACAACUCAAAGACUUGCUGGACGCAGGCUACAUUCGCCCCUCAAAGGCCCCAUUCAGUGCACCCGUGCUCUUCCAAAAGAAAAAGGAUGGAUCGCUGCGGAUGUGCAUCGACUAUAGAGCGCUCAACAAGAUCACUAUCAAGAACAAGUAUCUGAUUCCCGUGAUUGCGGACUUGUUCGACCAGCUUGGCAAAGCGCGGUACUUCACCAAACUUGACUUGCGCUCCGGGUAUUAUCAAGUGCGCAUCGCCAAGGGAGAUGAACCGAAGACAGCGUGCACAACAAGGUACGGGUCUUUCGAAUUCCUUGUGAUGCCUUUUGGUCUUACUAAUGCACCCGCCACAUUUUGCACGCUCAUGAACAAGGUGCUCCAACCAUUCCUCGACUGCUUCGUGGUCGUGUACUUGGAUGACAUAGUGGUGUAUAGCACCACGCUCGAGGAUCAUGCCCGACAUUUGCGACAAGUCCUCCAAGUACUUCGAGACAACGAGCUCUUCCUCAAACUAGAGAAGUGCUCGUUUGCCCAACAAGAAGUGGAGUUCCUUGGCCAUAAGAUUGCGGGUGGGAAGAUCAUGAUGGAGAAUGACAAAGUAAAGGUCAUCCUCGAUUGGGAGCCUCCCUCGAAAGUACCCGAACUUCGCUCAUUCCUUGGACUGGUGAAUUACUACCGCCGCUUCAUCAAGGGCUAUUCAGCUAAGGCGGCACCCUUGACGAAUAUGCUCAAGAAAAACAGAACAUGGCAUUGGUCCGAAGAGUGCCAACGCGCAUUCGAGGAGUUGAAAAGAACAAUUUCGGAGGAACCCGUCCUCGCUCUUCCGGACCACACAAAGCCCUUCGAAGUGCAAACGGAUGCCUCGGAUUUCGCCAUAGGAGGAGUCCUUAUGCAAGAAGGCCACCCUAUAGCGUUCGAGAGUCGAAAGCUAAAUGAUACAGAACGCCGCUACACGGUGCAAGAAAAGGAGAUGACCGCAAUCAUACAUUGCUUGCGGGUGUGGCGACAUUACUUGCUUGGCUCGUACUUCACGAUUAUGACGGAUAACGUGGCGACAAGCUACUUUCAAACUCAGAAGAAGUUGAGUCCGAAGCAAGCACGGUGGCAAGAUUUCCUUGCGGAAUUCGACUACCGGCUGGAGUACAAACCGGGGAAAGCCAAUGUCGUUGUGAACGCUCUAAGCCGCAAGGCCGAAUUGGCGACACUUAGCAUGAGCCAACCAAAGUCUGACCUUGUCUCACGCAUCAAGGAAGGCCUCCAACAAGAUCCGCUAGCCAAGGAUUUGCUGGAGAAGGUGCUCGAGGGAAAGACAAGACGAUUUUGGCAAGAGGAAGGCAUCCUCCUCACCAAGGGAGAUCGGCUAUUCGUGCCAAGGUGGGGAAACUUGCGGAAGGAAGUAAUCAAGGAGUGCCACGACUCUAAGUGGGCCGGUCACCCAGGAAUCGAGCGCACCACCGCACUAGUUCAAGCCUCGUAUUUUUGGCCGCACAUGAGGGACGACAUCGAGGCAUAUGUGCGAACUUGUCUUGUGUGCCAACAAGACAAAGUGGAUCAUCAACUUCCAGCGGGAUUGUUGGAGCCGUUACCACUAGCAACAAGGCCAUGGGAAAGUGUCUCCAUGGAUUUCAUCACAUCGCUGCCCAAGUCCGAAGGUUGUGGAAGCAUCAUGGUCGUUGUCGACCGAUACAGCAAAUAUGCCACAUUCAUUGCCGCACCAGCCGAUUGCAAAGCGGACGAGGCAGCCCGCCUAUUCGUCAAGCACAUUGUGAAGCUUUGGGGAGUUCCGAAGAGCAUUGUGAGCGACCGAGACCCUCGAUUCACUGGACGCUUUUGGACGGAACUCUUCAAAAUGUUGGGGACCGAUCUCAAGUUCUCGACAAGCUUCCACCCACAAACGGAUGGGCAGACCGAGCGCAUUAAUGGCCUCCUCGAGAUGUACCUGAGGCAUUAUGUGAGCGCUCACCAGCGGGAUUGGGCGAAGCUACUCGACAUUGCCCAAUUUUCUUAUAACUUGCAGCGAAGUGAGGCUACGGGCAAGAGUCCAUUCGAGAUCAUCAUGGGAUUUCAGCCCAUGACCCCCAAUGCCAUAGCCUCGACUUACGGAGGGAAAAGCCCCGCGGCACACAAGCUCGCCCGCGAAUGGCAUGAGGAAGCGGACAUCACGCGAGCCUAUCUCGACAAAGCCGCGAGGAAAAUGAAGAAAUGGGCUGAUACAAGGAGACGGCAUGUUGAGUACAAGGAAGGAGAUCAAGUCAUGAUCAAGCUCCUACCCCAACAAUUCAAGACUUUGCGGAAAGUUCACAAGGGGUUAGUGAGGUGCUACGAGGGAUCCUUCCGAGUUGUUCGACGUGUAGGCAACGUCUCGUAUCAACUCCAACUUCCGCCAAGACUCAAGAUCCAUCCGGUCUUCCAUGUGAGCCUUCUCAAGCCAUAUCAUGAAGACAUGGGAGAACCAAGUCGCGGAGAAUUGAGGCGCGCGCCAACUGCCGUUGUCACCGCGUUCGACAAAGAUGUGGACUACAUCAUUGCGGACCGAACGGUUUCGAGGAGGGGCGUGCCAGCACAUAGCGAGUACUUGGUGAAAUGGAAAAACCUCCCCGAGAGCGAAGCCACUUGGGAACGGGAAGAUGAUUUGUGGCAAUUCGCUGAGCACAUCCAGCACUUCAAGCACGAGAGCGCGACGAGGACGCCGCGAGCUUAGGUGGGGGAGGAUGUUGCGGACCGCCCAAUUCGCUAGCCCAAUUGCCCACAAUUUCGGGCUAGAGAGCCAACACAAGGCCAAGAGUGCUAGCUUGGCCCAAUUCUGGAAGGUUCUAGGCAACUCUAGCACAUGUGAACAUGUAAAUAUUCUAGAAUACUUUAUACAAUUCCAGCACAUGCAAAUAGCUAGGAAAUUGUAAAAUACUCUAGAGUUUGACCAAGUUUGGCAAAGUUAGGCAAAGUUAGGCAAAGUUAGGCAAAGCCUCCCCUAUAAAUAUGGGAUGGCAUUAGGCAUUUGUAUCCAACAAGCUUUGUAAGCAACUCAAGCAUUGUAUUCUCUCUUUGUGCAAUACAAGUUUUCUUCUUUGGCUCAAUUGCUCUCUUCUCUAGUUCGAGAAGCUCUAGGCUUACUUAGCAACAUUCGGCAAAGUUGUCUAAGUGCCGCACGGGUUAGCUGCGCAAAACACUCAUCCCGUGACAUACUGGUAGGUAUGUACGUGUCCUCAACUUUUUUUCGGAGCACAAAAUUCGAGUCCCAUGGAGACUCAAACAUUCCUUUCCCACAUCCCGAGCACGCUAAAUUCAUCAGACUAACAACUGUGACAUAUACAAGAGUGAAAUGUUUAGAGAACGCUAAGUACUAUGAAAGAGAUUAGUUUACGAAAACUGAAGCCAAGGGUUCAUAAAAAAGUGCAAAGAGAAUAAAGGACAACGCUUAUGUAAAGCGACAUAGUUGUAUUCAUAGCACAAUGUCAUAUUCAUACAGAGAUCUAGAAUAUUAUUUACAGCUGGUAAGGGCUAAGAAUUGAUGUAGCUAGAAUACAAAGACGAUAAGGUAUGUUGUGCACUAUUGUUUUAUUCUACGAUCAAUCUUGACCCUUGAUGCUUGGCUCUCAAUCUUGUCCAUUGAUCUUCUUUGAUUUUGGACACUUCAAGACCUUUCAGUAUCAUUCCUUGUUAUUGGUGUCUUCCGUGCUGUAGAAUUCAUAUACAAGCCUUCCCGCCGACUUGCCAAUUAUUUGUUCAUUGGUGCGUUUUGUCAAGCAGUGUGGAUACUUAUACCAAACGCUUUCUGUUUUAACUCCCCCUUUCAAGCUCAACUAUCUGGGAAGACACUAAUAAGCUUGUUUCUCAAGUAUAUGUAUGUGAAAAUUAAAAUUUCAAAAUAAUAUUCGGACUCUACAUUUUCUAAUGAACAUUGGUUUGGCUCAUAAGCUUAUUAUACUUGGGCUUGGUAGGAUUAUCGGUCGGUAGAUGAACAAGUGUUAGAGCUUUCGAAUUUAUGCCAAUUAAAAAAAAAAAAAUCUAUAUAAAUUUUCCACUAGGCUAUUACCACAAUAAACAUUUGGAUGAACUAUUAUUGAAACCUUAUUGAGAAGUAGGACAUGUCGCAUACCAAUGCACUGACAUAUCUUCAAAUAGUGGUAACUCCACACAACAUGGCACAAUAAAUUAAGAGUUAUAUAGAUAAAAUCUUUCACUCUUUGGUAAUCAUCAAUGUCGGCAUGGCAAUGCGUCCGACAAAAUUCAUAAAUCAAAACAAAAAUAGAGAAUCAUAUUUGUUCCAGAUUGUAGUGAUGGUUGUUGAUGCACUCACAAUUUACAAUUUUAUUUAAUAUCUUCACAUUCGCAUUUUAAAAUGCACAAAUGUUUGUGUAUACAUAAUUAGUAAUCGAUUCUCAAGCAUGGACAUUUAAAAGCACUGCUGAAAGACAAAAUUUUAAUUUACUAUUUUUUGUCUUUUAAUUUUCUUUAAGUUUUAAUGAUUCCGCAUUUUGGCGAAGGAAUUGCAACCGCAUUUGGAGCUAGUUUUAAUUUUGUCUUUUAAUUCUUUUACACUUGGCUUUUGUUAUUGAUGUUAACUUCGAUGUGUGUGCGUGUGCGACUGAAUUCAACUUACACGCUAUUGAUGCAGCCACCAAAAAGGGGUGGUCCAUCAUCAAUCAACAAGGUUUAUUAUUAUUUCCAUAUUGAUUUUCUUAAUUAUAAAUAAUACUAAUGCUAUUUCAUAGUUAUAAAUAUAUUAGAAUUAAUCGAAAUCAUUUUUUAGUGUGGCAUGGCUAAAACUACCUUUUUUUUUUAUAAGUAAUUACUACUUUCACAUUAAGAAAAAAUACUCCUAUUUUUAAGGAAAAGUCAAGUACCUGUAGUUGUGAAGACUCGAGCUCACUCCCUUAUGAUAAAUCUUCAUAUUAAUUACGUAAAUAUCCUCUAAAAUUUUAAAUUAACUAUUCAAAAUUCGAUGUUAUACAGGUAUUUCAUUUAUUUGAGUAGGGGUUAGGGGUCAAUUGGAUACAAAUUCAAAAUUAUCCUUACUUGAGAAGGUGAUAAAAAUUGGGGAUUUAGUUUGGAUGUCAUUAGCUACAAAUAUUAAACUCAUACAUUUAAUUCAAAAUUAGAGGGCUGAUAUAUGCGCAUCAUCGUGCACGUUAUAGUGACACUGCGUCACCAUUCCACAACCUCUCCAAUGAAAAAUUGACAUGCUUCUUGUGCGCAUCUAAUCAGAAUCUUGAAAAUUAAUCACAAAAUUGUACUUUUAUUAUAAAAAGAAUAAAGAAACUCCAAGAAAAAAAAAAGACUUACAUAAAUAGAUUGAAAAAUCUAGAUUUCAAGUUGUCUAUAUUAGCUUGAUAUUUUUAUUAAUAGUCAUCCUCCCAAAAAAAUUCCAUCAAAAUAUAUUUUAAUUUUAUGUUAAUUCAUAAACAUGAAAAAAUCAUUUUAGAAUUAAUUAAAACAUAAUUUAUUGUUGCUCAAAAAAGGUAGAACUUAGUGAUCAGAAAAAAAGUAUCUAAAAUAUAUGUUAAAAAAAAUCAUGGUUGGUUAGACUGAUUGAAUUUUUUUUCUUUUUUAAGAAUUAAGACAAUUGGAUGGAUUCAGUAAUAAUAAUACAUAUUUAUUUGGCAAAUGGCAGGGAGGCUUUCGUCUGAUGCAGAUUGAUUAGAGAGAAAAUAUAACAAUUUUAAGCUCGUCAGAUUCGAAGCUGCUUACCUGUCGUGGGGGGAUCACUUCCGGUGCAUGUUGUCGUGUUAAAUUCUCGUUGACUUCACGUUGACUGAAGCAUUAUUGGAAGAAACAAGUUUAUUGAUGUGAGGCCUUUGAGAUUGUAAGUGUUAAAUCUGAGAAGAAUACCCACACACCCAUUAUCCUAUUACUCUUCUAUCACAUGAAGAGAAUUCAACAUUUGAUUCACACGGAAAAAAAAUUUGUGAGGAUUGUGAGGGUUGAUGGAAUAUAAUUUAGAUACAAAGUGUUUACCAGUGCGAUGCUUCGCAAGUGUUCUUGAAUCAAUAUAAACUCACAUUAUUUUCAUAGCGAUUGUUUCAUCUGCACGUGGAUAUAAUCACAUGUCGAGAUUUUUUUCCUUAAAUUAUGAUCUUAUUUAGUAUUGAGGUGUUAUAUCUUUUAAGGUACAAUUAUUGUUGGAAAAAAGUUGCAACUAUCAAAUAAAAUUAAUACUAUGUGCUAAAUAUAAUUGUUAAAUAAUAAUUUUGACAAAAUUAGUGAAGUUAUAUAGAUUUUUUUUCAUCAUCCAAGUAUAAAAUCAAAUCAACUUAACUUCUAAGUUCUAUAUCGGCUACUGUUUAUCAUAUGUUUUAGUUCUGUAACUUUUAAAUUAUAGUUACCCAACCUCAAUUCUAAACAAGACCUAUAACGAUAAAAAAUUUCCUCAUUAAAUUAUAUGUCUUGUGAUUGCUUAUUUAAUUUAUAUUUUUGUUAUUUAUCUUUAUUAAUUAUAAUCAUCUUUUUAUAAAUUAAAAUUGAAGGAAGUUGAUUGAUGUUGUUGACACACACACACGCACGCACACACUCGCAAAGAUAUAUUGGAAGUGCUUACGUCGACUCGAAGUUGUUGGGAAUUAAUGCAUGUAUUGAUUUAUUGGGAGUGUUUAAAUUGAUUUAUUAAUUGAAUAUUGUUUGAUUGCUUCAUAUCCAUUCUAGAAAGUUUAUUUCUUUGUGAAAUUUCAACGAAAUAUGUUUUUUUUUUUAAAUAAGGGUGUUCUAAAUCAUUUUAAAAAAUAUAUGGACUAAUUAGAAUUAAUUAUUAGGUAAUUAACUCAAUUUGUACAGGGUGAAACAACAUUUAUCCUAAUUAUAUCAUGAUAAAUACUUUUUUGAUUAGAAUUAGGAAAUCAUAGGUUUAUUGAAUUGUUUUUUUUUUCCUUUGCGGAAAUGGAUUAGAGAAUUAGAAAACAAUCAUGUUGAUGUCAAAAUCUGAUCUAGUCGGUUAGCGACUUAAUAUCAUAUUACUGCACCAGCAUUAAAUUUAUUUGGUAGAGAAUUGGCUGGUCAAUUGUCAAGAUGUCCUGCAAUCACUAGCGAUUAACCUACGAAUACCUGAAAUCACAAAAGACGGUAAGAGGCACUAGAAAUUUUUUCGGCGUGAACCUUCUGACGCUCAAGUCAGUUUAUAGGUUUACCAUAAUAAAAAUAAAUAAUUUCUAUUUAAAACAAAAAAUAAAGUUCAAAAGCUCAAAAAUAAAACCCAAUCCCAAUAUGAAAAUGAAUUUCUUUUUUUUUUUUAGCUUGGCCGAAUCCUUCUGCCUCCUAAAGAAACAUAAUAGAGAAGCAGGUAGCCAUGUUCCCUAGGUAACGCCCCACUCCCCUCUUUUAUUCCUCCCCCUCUCUUCCGUUUCCUUCUUUUGCUCACUAUCCUUUAUAAUUUUUUAUGCUUGUCUUCCCAAAAUAGCCUUUGAAUACACAAGUAAAUGUCUAGGCUUUGGUGAGGAUAGUUUGGUCAUUGCAUUUUACAAGUAAGAUGAGUGGUGGAGAAAAAUGAGGAGUGCACAUAACUCUUCAGCAAAUCCCACCAACAAUUCCAUUUUCUUAAUUAAUUAAUCUCCUUUUUUAUCCCCAAACAAAUCCUAAUGAUACUCUUAUCAGGUUUAAAACAGUACACAAAUAGUGAAAAGCUAACUAGUCUGUAGAGUAAUUUGCUAAUUGCUAUCUCCUCUCUACGCGCGCUGAAUAAUUUGUUGCAUGCAAACUUUUUAUUUUAUGCAAAUCGUACGUACUGUAACAUUGGAAUUGAUGGAUAAGCAAAAAUACAAUAAUAUUUAUGCCAAUAAAAAUAGUUUUUUUUCCUUUUUAAAUAAACACAACGCGAUGUUGCUCUGCUCUACAUUUUUGCUAUCUCUUUAUUCUUUUUUUUUUUUUGGGCUUCUUAAAGCCUCAAACUUUGACAACCAAAACUUCAUCGACCUAUGAAAAAAUCUGCAGAUUAGUUUUUAUUAUCGGAAUAAUUGUUUGAGAAUACUAAAACAAAAUAUAAAAUAAGAAAAUAGGGGGUUAAAUUAGAGGGGGAAAAAAGCCAUGUUCUAUCGAUUACUAUAGUUUAAGAAAACAAAAUCCAAUUGGGAAUUUUUUUCUUUAAUUUUUGUUUUACUUGAUUGAGAUUUCUCCUUAGUCCUUACAGUUUUAAGUUUGGAUGCCGUAGGGUUAGUAAUUUAGUACUUCCUUUGCAAGCUGAGGGCAAGAAUGAAAAUCUUUAAAGAAAUUAAAAAAGAUUAAAAAAAAGCAUACCAAUAGGUAAUUAUAAAUAACCAUAAAUAAACAUAAACAAAAUAUUUAUGAAGUAAAUUACACAUGCACAUAUUAUUUUUUUGUUUUAUUUCUUACUUGUCUAUUUUAUUUGUCUAUUUUAUUUGCUGCUUGAUAACCCGUAAAUACUAAUCUAGUACUGCUAAUUUCAGACACAAAAUUUUUAACUCUAGGCUGCAGUUUUGCUCAAAAUGAUGACCACUGGCUUCGCACCAUUUAACCGGCAUACAUUUCUACAAAUUGAACAAGGCUAUUGAUUUUCAUUAUUAUUUUUUAUUUAUUUAUAAAUUACUAUUUUAAUUUUCACUUUUUAUUGGGUUGUUUACAAUUUUAUUUUAUAAUUUCAAAUUUGUAUUUUAAAAUGCAGGUACAUUAUGUAUACAUAAUUAUUGAUUUUCAUAUGUGGGUGUUUUGAAAUAUUGCUAAAAGACCAAACUUAAUAAACUAUUUUUCAUCUUUUUUUCCCUUUUUUCCUAAAGGUUGAGUGAUAUCCGCAUUUUAAAUUCAUGUGGAACAAAAGCUAAUGAAUGCACAAAAUUAUUUUAUUUUUUCCGAGAAAAAUGGGUAAGAGAAGAAGAUUUUUCUCUUGAAAAAGAAAAACUAAUACGAUGCAAACAUAGGAAAGAGGUCAGUGUUUUGGAUUAGAAUUUAUUAUUGACCUGAAUUUUAUACUAAACUCUUUUAUAGUACUGCGAUUAAUGAACUCAUGAUUUGCUUUUGCUUUUACUUCAAGUGAAAGAAAGAGGAAACCUUUUGUUUUUUGUUUGAUUCUUGACUAUAGAUGUUACCUAUAUAGAGAGUUGAGGUAGCUGCCUUAAGUGAUGGUGAUAAAAAGAUUAAGCAGCGCACAAAAUCUGACUGUCGUCCAGACCAUCCAGCUGUGAUGGCUCUAGUUUUUUGGUUACAUUAGCUUUAGUGGAAAGGAGGGCCAAUUUAACAAAGACUAGAUUUGGUGGCUUACUAUAAUGCUUAUUCUCAAGGAAUCUAAUGUUAUAAGAUGAUUUAAUGAUCUUCUAUGAUUGUGAGUAGUAUAGUAUAAUUGAAAAGAGCCUGGGCUCCUAUGAUGAAUAUUUAAUAGUAACACAAUAUUGUGAUUGAAAAAAACACUGUUACAAUAAACUCUUCAUUUAUUCAUUGCGGAUAUUGAAUGGCAAACAGAGAAUAAAAUGAAGCAGAGGAAUCUCAUUGCUAGUAAAAUUGACCCUCUUUAAUGUUAUAUGGCACAGGUGUGUGUACAGCAAGAGCAAGUGACUUGCAGUUUUUUUUUGUAAAAUAUACAGGUUAUGACCAUGAUCAUUGUAGUUAGGUUUUGAUGAUUUUAGAUGCUUUUUUAUUUUUUUUAAAUUGUGACACCUUUGAUUUAUGGUAGUUUUGCAGAAGAAAAAAAUAUAUAUAAAAAUUAGGAAGAAUGAGUUAACUAACAAUUGCAAUCAUUACAACAAUGUUGAUGAGUGAUACAUCAUUUGAAAUUUACAUGUCAGUUGCUAAAAUGAUGAAAAAAAACAAUAAACAAUAGCAGUAAUAUUUUUAUGGAAAUUCUUGGUUUUUAUGGAAAUACUCUUGCUGAAAUUCUAAUUUUGACUUUCAACUCUUGGUUUUUAUGGAAAGUAAAAUGACUUGUUUGUUAUAUUCAUACAAUCCACUCUACAUAAUGAUUUCAUUUUUAAUAAAUGCUUGAUGAUCUCCACUGAAAAACUACUUCAAUUCUUUUGUUUUAUUUAACUUUUUGGUUGUUGAAAAUAGCCUUAAUUUUCAAAUAAUUGGAGAAAGAGUAAAGAACAUUUAACAAAUUUAUGUGCCAAAAAUAAAGGAGAAAUUGAAGAGAAAGGGUGCUUGCAGAAGUGGGUGCAAAGAUAAAUCAGUCUAUAAGAAUUAUUGUGGUUAUUAAUUUUUUGGCAAUAUAAAAAUUCUUCAGCAAAUAAAAAUUGAUUUUUUUCCGAUUUACUAAAAAAUUAAUUAAAAAAUUCGGCCACAGCAUUUUUUAUGGGUGCAUAUACCCUCCCUUUAAAAAAAAAUAAUAAUUAAUGCUUAAUAUAGUAUUAAAUACCAAAAUAUCAAUAUUUGGCUACUCAAAUUUAUAUCAUUAGGUCCUUCAAAUUUAAAAUUGAAGAUACAAAAGGAAAUAUAUAUAAAUUUCAUUCUCAUGGAAAGGAUUCUCUUAUAAUCUUAUAAUAUUUGAGUUUUGAAAUUUUUUGAAACAAAUGUAAUUUUAUUUGUGUACAAUCAAUAUUUACUUAUUUAUUAUAUUUUAAUUUGUUAACUAUCAAUCAUUUAAGUAUAUUUGGUCAGAAAAAUUAUAUCAAGAGAGAAUCCUAAUUUCACGCAAACACAAAUACAAGAUAAAUAUGUCAAUUUCUAUACUAUUCACUUUCCUGUAGAAUCAAUUAUCUAAAAUGCAAGUUUGUGGCUACAGAAAACUAAUGCAUCAUUUUCUUCUUGAUUUGAUGAGAUGACGCCAUUACAAAAAAAUAAGUACCUUAAUUGACGGGCACUGAGUGAUGUGAAUACUACCAGCCAGUUCAUCUCUUCCAGUCUUGCUUAAUCACAAUCACAAACACCACGAGAUUGACAUUUGCAUUAUAUAUAUCUUCAGCAAUCGAAACACCUUGCAUUACCAAAUUAACCGGUAACAAACAAAGCAAUCUUUCAUGGAGAGAAACUUUAGUCUCAGUAUGAUCACUGUGUCAUUAACCCACUUCCUGCUUCUUUGCUUGGUUGUUGCAGCAGCAGCAGCCGCAAGCAACAAUAUUACCACAGACCAACAAGCUCUUCUUGCCCUGAAAGAUCAUAUAACUUAUGAUCCAACCAACCUUUUUGCCCAUAAUUGGACCUCGAAUACCUCUGUUUGUACCUGGAUUGGCAUCACUUGUGAUGUCAAUAGCCAUAGAGUCACAGCCUUAGAUAUUUCUCAAUUCAAUCUACAAGGCACCAUCCCUCCUCAACUUGGAAACCUCUCUUCACUUACAACGCUUAAUCUUAGUCAUAACAAGCUUUCUGGAGACGUUCCAUCCUCCAUCUACACCAUGCAUUCGCUAAAAUUUCUUGACUUCACUGAUAACCAGCUCUCUGGUUCAGUGUCUUCCUUCGUCUUCAGCAUGUCUUCAAUAUUAGAAAUUCUUUUGACCAAUAACAGAUUUUCUGGUGAGCUUCCGAAAAAUAUUUGCAACUAUCUUCCUUAUUUGAAAGCCCUUUUCUUAAACAAAAACAUGUUUCAUGGCAAAAUUCCUUCUGCUUUAUCAAAGUGCAAACAACUGCAACAAUUAAAUUUGCAGUUCAAUAAUUUAUCCGGUGCAAUACCGAAAGAAAUCGGCAACUUGACUAUGCUCAAAGGCAUAUAUCUCGAAUACAACAAACUCCACGGUAUGUUCAUAAUACUAUGUAAAUGUUUUAAUUUCUCACUUGUUAUUUUCUUGAAUACUUUAGACAAGAUCUCGUAAGGGAGAUAUUUUUGGAUCUGUGUUAAUUUGCCAGGUGAGAUACCCCACGAAAUCGCUAAUCUUCGAAAUCUAGAGGAUUUAUUGCUUGGAAUGAACAACCUAGUUGGUGUGUUACCAGCUCCAAUCUUCAACAUGUCAACACUGAAAUUAUUUGACCUCAUAAAUAACUCUCUCUCCGGAAGUCUUCCAUCAAGAAUAGACCUUUCACUUCCAACUGUCGAGUUUUUUGGCUUGGCACUGAAUAGAUUUUCUGGAACCAUUCCUAGUUCCAUCACCAAUGCUUCUAAGCUCACCGUUCUAGCGUUGGGAGAGAACACAUUUUCGGGCUUCAUUCCAAACACAAUUGGUAAUUUAAAAAACCUUGAGUGGCUCAGCUUGGAGAAUAAUUACUUGAAAUCUUCAACCUCAAAAUUGAGCUUUCUUUCCUCUUUGGCAAAUUGCAAGAAAUUAAGAUUCUUAAACUUAGCAGGCAAUCCACUUGACGGCUUCCUUCCAAGUUCAAUAGGUAAUCUUUCUGUGUCUUUGGAAACACUUUUCAUCGGCAAUUGCAGUAUUAGUGGCAACAUUCCUCAAGCAAUUAGCAAUUUAAGCAACUUGUUGACCUUAGCAUUAGAAUUCAAUAAAUUGACUGGACCAAUUCCAAUUACAUUUGGCCGACUACAGAAACUCCAAGGCUUAGAUCUUGCAUUCAAUAAGUUGGUAGGUUCAUUCCCAGAUGAGCUUUGCCAUCUAGCAAGGCUGGAUCAAUUGUACUUAUUUGGCAAUAAGCUUUCAGGAUCUAUACCUUCAUGCCUAAGUAAUCUCACUUCUCUAAGAUCUCUCUACUUAGGGUCUAAUAGGUUUACUUCUGUUAUUCCCUCAACUUUCUGGAGCCUAAAAUACAUCUUGUUCUUUGACUUUUCAUCAAAUUUCUUGGUUGGUACUCUUUCUUUCGACAUAGGUAAUUUGAAGGUGCUUCUAGGAAUAAAUUUAUCAGAAAAUAACUUAUCGGGUGAUAUGCCAGCCACAAUUGGAGGACUGAAAGAUCUUCAAUUUAUGGACCUAGCAUAUAAUAGAUUGGAAGGCCCAAUUCCUGAAUCAUUUGGUGACUUGACAAGUUUGGAGGUUUUGAAUUUGUCAAAAAAUAAAAUCUCUGGGUCUAUUCCAACAUCCAUAGAGAAACUCAUUUACCUUCGAGAGUUAAAUCUCUCUUUCAAUAAACUUGAAGGUGAGAUUCCUAGUGGAGGAAUUUUUACCAACUUCACAGCUGAGUCAUUUAUGGGAAAUGAGUUAUUGUGUGGUUUACCAAAUCUUCAAGUCCAACCAUGCAAACUUAGCAAGCCUAGGACAGAACAUAAAUCAAGGAAAAAGAUACUUCUCAUUGUGAUUGUUUUGCCAUUGAAGAUUGCUCUAACGAUAGCAAUCACUCUAGCUCUCAAAUCUAAGCUGAUCGAAUGUAGAAAAAGAAGCACAGAGUUAUCAAAUGAUAGUAUCUUGUCAUCACAAGCAACACUAAGAAGAUUUUCAUACUUAGAACUUUUACAAGCAACAGAUAAUUUUGCUGAAAACAACAUAAUUGGCAGAGGAGGUUUUGGUUUCGUUUAUGGAGCAAGACUUGAAGAUGGGAUGAAGAUUGCAAUAAAAGUGUUCACCAGCAAUGUGCAAGCGCAUUGAAGAGUUUUGAGGCUGAAUGUGAAGUGUUAAAAAAUAUUCGCCAUCGAAACCUUAUCAAAGUUAUCAGCAGUUGCUCGAACGAUAACUUCAAAGCAUUAGUCCUAGAAUACAUGUCCAACGGGAGCUUGGAGGAUUGGCUGCAUUCUAGCAAUUAUGUGCUGAAUAUAUUUCAGAGGUUGAACAUAAUGAUUGACGUUGCAUCAGCUUUAGAAUAUCUCCACUUCGAUCAUUCAACUGCUAUUAUUCAUUGUGACUUAAAGCCUAGUAAUGUAUUGUUGGACGAAAAUAUGGUUGCUCAUUUGAGUGAUUUUGGCAUAGCAAAGCUUUUAAGUGGAGAGGAUGAGUCUACGAUGCGAACAAAAACCCUUGCCACUAUAGGUUAUAUGGCACCAGGUUUGCUUCAAACAACUUUUUUUUUAGUUCAUUUUAAAUUUUCUAAAUCAUUGAUUUUUACGAUCCUCAUAUCAAAUUGUUACUGAUUAUUUAUCUAAUUGUGAAAUUAAUUUGAUUCAUAGAGUACGGCAUAGAAGGAGAAGUAUCUACAAAAAGUGAUGUUUACAGCUAUGGGAUUAUGUUGAUGGAAACUUUUACCAAGAAAAAACCCACAGAUGAAAUUUUUGUUGGAGAAUUGAGCUUAAAGCGUUGGGUUAAUGACUUGCUUCCUACUUCAUUAGAGGAAGUUGUGGACAAAACUCUGCUAAGUGGAGAGGAAAAACAUUCUUUAGGAAAGGAGCAAUGUCUGUUGUCUAUCUUUAGUUUGGCUCUGGAGUGUACAAUGGAAUCACCGGAAAAGAGGAUUAAUGCAAAAGAUAUUGUUACCGGAUUACUCAAGAUAAAAGCCGCAUUGAGUAAAAGGAUAGGAAAUUUAAGUUAAUUUCGUUUGCUUUCAUUGAUAGUUAAUCUGAAUUCAUGUAAUAAGUGUAGGAAUCUUAUAUCUUUUCCUUUCAUAUAUUUUUUUUCCUUGAGAAAACUGUUGUAGUCAUCUUGUUUCCGUGGACAGAGUUGAUUUAGUUUUUCCAUGAAAUGCUACUGAUGACAUUUGUUUUAUACUUUCUCUUUUUUUGCAUGUGUUUUGGCUGCAGGCUAAGAAGUCUAACUACACUAAAAGAAUAUGAUUUAAUUUAUUAAACAAAACUUCAAGUUCAAGAAAAGUAUUUCACUGCCCCUAAUGCUUUGGACACCUACUGGUAGGUUUGUACGUGUCCUCAACUUUUUUUUGGAGCACAAAAUUCGAGUCCCAUGGAGUCUCAAACAUUCCUUUCCCACAUCCCGAGCACGCUGAAUUUAUCAGACUGACUGUUGUGCGCGGAAUGCGGAAUCAAGCACGCCAAAUAAUUACAGAAAAAUAAAUGACACAAGAAUUUACGUGGUUCGGUAAUUAAACCUACAUCCACGGAGGUAAAAAAAAAAAUUGUUUAUUUAACAAUUAAUAGAGUACAAAUAUUUGAGUAACGAAUCUCACUUCCCAAAAACCCAAAUAUACCCAGUACUCUCACACUCUGCAGGAAAGAUAAAUUCCCCAGACAAACUUCUCUCACUUCUCUCAAAAGCUUAGAAACUUAUAAGCUUAACAAUUUUAGGAUACCAAAGAAUGGAAGAAGUGCCAUCUAUUUAUAGGGAAAAUAAUGGCACUAUUGAACCAACCCUUUUACUAUUCCACCUAACCUAAGCAAAUAGUCAAUGGUGUCCAUUUGGCAAAUUUGACAAAUUUGCCAACUUUCCAUUUUUUCUUCAAAUGUUUGGUAGCUCUUUGAAAAAUUGCCACAUACAUGACUUUUCAACACUGACAACCGGGACAUAUACAAGAGUGAAAUGUUCAGAGCACGCUAAGUUCCAGUGAAAGAGAUUAAUUUACGGAAACUAAAGCCAAGAGAAUAAAGGACAACACUUAUGUGAAGCGACAUAAUUGUAUUGAUAGCACAAUGUCAAAUUCAUACAGAGAUCUAGUAUACUAUUUACAGCCGGUAAGGGCUAAGAAUUGAUGUAGCUAUAAUACAAAUACGAUAAGGUAUGUUGUGCGCUAUUGUUUUUAUUCUCCAAUCAAUCUUGACCCUUGAUGCUUGGUUCUCAAUCUUGUCCAUUGAUCUUCUCUGAUUUUGGAGACUUCAAGACCUUUCAGUAUCAUUCCUUGUUAUUGGUGUCUUCCGUGCUGUAGAAUUCAUAUACAAGUUUUCCCGCCGACUUGCCAAGUAUUCGUUCAUUGGUGCAUUUUUAUCAAACAGCUGGGCUACUUAUGCCAGACACCGCCUGGUUUAACUCCCCCUCUCUAGCUCAACUAUCUGGGAAGACAAUUAAUUGAGCUUGUUUCACAAGUAUAUGAAUCUGAAAGUUAAAUUUUAAAAAUUAUAUUCGGACUCUACAUUUUGUAAUGAACAUUGGUUUGACUUGUUAUACAUUUAUGCGUACAUAAUUAAUAACCGAUUCUCAAGUGCGGACAUUCAAGAGCACUGCUUAAAGACCAAAUAUUUUGAUUUACUACUUUUUGUCUUUCAAUUUUCUUUUAAGUUCUGAUGACGUCCGCAUUUUAAAAUCCUGUGGAACAAAGGCCUGAGGUGCAUAUAAAAUUCUUUUAUUUUUCAGAGGAAAAUGGGUGAGAGAAGAAGAUUUGGCAAAAGAAUUGCAACGGCAUUUGAAACUAGUCUUCGUCUUUUAAUUCUUUUAUAUUUGUUUUUGUUAUUGAUGUUAGCUUGGAUGUGUGCGCGUGUGACUGAAUUCAACUUAUAUUUGUUUUUGUUAUUAUUAUUAAUUUUAUUUGUUUUUGUUAAAUUGGACCACCCCAUUAUCAAAUCAACACGGUUUAAUUAUUAUUAAUUCUACACUUUUUUUACGAACAAAUAUAAAAUAAAAGGACAUUUACAUCCCAAAUUUUAGUGCAAUAGUCAUCAACAUCCCUAAAUUUUUAAAAAGAGACAUCAAAAUCAUUUUUUGAUCUUAAUACUCUUAUACGGUACCUCUAUUAUUCCCAAAAAUUGACUCUAAUGUUUUAUAAUAAAUAAAAAUAAAACUUUAAAAUAAAUGUAAUUACAUAUACAUUUUAAAAUAAUUUCAAUAUUUAAAAAAUAUUUUUAACAUUUUACAAUCUAUUAUAUUUUAUUAUAUUAAAGUAAAUUUUAUUAUAAAUAGAAUCAUAUUAUUAAAAUAAAUGCAUUAAAAUUUAAAUUAUUUUGAAUAUCAUGUAAGAUAAUAAUUUUAACAUUACUAGUGUGUCAGAUUUUUUUUUUUAAUUGUAGAAUGUAUUUAGCGCAAAUAUUUAUUUAAAAUCUCUACAAUAAAUAAAAGAUUUAAAUAAAUAUAAUAAUUUACAUAUCUAAAUUUAUUAAAAUAUUUUAAUAUUGUUAGUCUACUGCAUAGAUCACAAUAUUUAUAUAACAUUUGUAUUUAUUAAAAACUUUAAAAUCAAUUCUUUUGAGAAUAAUAGAGGUAAAGAGUAUAAUGGUAAUAAAGGGGACUUUGUACCCCUUUCUAAAAACUUGAGGAUGUUAGUGACCAUUUCUCCAAACCUUCAGUGUGUUGAUGUAAUUGUCAAGAAAUACAGUAUCUAAACUUUGAAGUAACAAGGAUCACCUUUUAUGAAAUCAUAUUGCUUUUCAUGAUAGACUGUUACCAUUUUUCUACGAUAGAUUCAGUAAAAAAUUGAUUAAGAUGUCUACUCAUGGAGAGUGAAAUUUAUGUUCAAAACUAAUUUCAACAGGCAUGCACCAUCGAACGUGUUUCUCAUGGAAAAGUUGCUUGGAUUUUAGGGACUUUAUGUUCAAAUAUUCAACACGGCAUGCACCACGCGAUUGAACAUGCAAAAGUAGGGGUCUAUUUUCAUUUUCAGCAUUAUAGAAAUCUUAAUUUUGUUCAUUAUUUAUUUUGAUCAGCACUCUUGAAUCUCCAUGUAUUGCCAAUCACUAAGAAACAACAUAUUCUUAUUAAUUAUAUCCUCUAAUGGAGAGAACUCAUUGUCUCAGUAAGAUCACUGUGUCAUUAACCCACAGCAUGCUGAUUUGCUUGGUUGCUGCAGCAAGCAAAAAUAUUACCACAGAUCAAAAAGCUCUUCUUGCCCCAAAAGAUCACAUAACUUAUGCUCCAACUAAUCUUUUGACCCAAAAUUGGACCUCAAAUACCUCUGUUUGUACGGGGAUUAGCAUCACUUGCGAUGUCAAUAGCCAUGAAGUUGCAGCCUUGGAUAUUUCUCAAUUCAAUCUACAAGGCACCAUUAUUCCAAACACAACUGGUAAUUUAAGAAACCUUAAGUGGCUCGGCUUGGCUUAUAAACUACUUGACAUCUUCAACUUCAAAAUUGAGCUUUCUUUCCUCUUUGGCAAGUUGCAAAAAAUUAAGAAUCUUAGGCUUACUGGAAAUCCACUUGACCGUAUCCUUUCAGGUUCAAUAGGUAAUCUUUCUAUGUCUUAGGAAAGGUUUCACAUCGCCAAUUGCAGCAUUAGUGGCAGAAUUCCUCAAGUAAUCAGCAAUUUAAGCAACUUGUUGGCUGGUGUGCAAAAUUUUAAUAUACUUGCAAGCGCAUGAAUCUAGAAAUAGAAUAAUAGUAACGAGGUCAAACCCACAUGGAUCGUUAUAAACUGACAAAAGAAUAGCUGCUGGUCUAGAGGUGGCUUACUACAUUCAUACAAGAUCGUUUCUUGUUCUCUAAGAUAUGCAUUAUACUAAUAAUGCUAUACAAACUUAUCCAAAGGUCUAUUAAUUAAUUCAUUAAUCCAACGGCUUGUUAGGUUGUCCUUUCAUCCAUACAGCUGCAUGCUUGUCUUCUUAUAUACUGAUCUUAUCCUCUAGAUCUGUUCAGGCUGAGUGAUCUCUCACAUUUGCCAUAUCAGAAGAUUACAUGCCAGUAAUGUCAUGUGAUGACCUGUUGCUUGGUGAUGUCGAAUGCCUGGCCUUUACUUCUCUGAGCAAAUUGAUCAAACAAUUUGUUCAUUUUAUCGAACACCUUCACCAACCAACAUUUUAUUUACUUUUGAUGGUUUUUAAGUGCAUUUAAUGAUUAUUUUUGCUCCAACUUCAGAUAAACCAAACGCUAGUAUAUUAGAAGAAGAAGUUCACUGGCAGCUAACCAGGUCAAAAUAGCGACUCUAUAUAAAAAAUAUAUAUAAAAAAUAAAUAAAUAAAAUGGGACUUUAUUUAAUUAAUUGUUGGUCUAAAGCUGUUGGUAUCCGUUGGCCACGUUUCUGAAGAGUCAUCUCAAAUCGAAAUUUUUAACGAACAAAGAACUUUGCUUUUUUCCAUUGUUCACAUUGCUGCUGGCUGCCACCCGUGAGAUAAAAGUGCUACAAGCUUUCCGUCGACAUUCCCCCCUCCAUUUUCACCAUGCAUAAGCUGAAAUUUCUUGAUUUCAGUGAUAAUCAGCUCUCUGGUUCUUUGUCCUCCGUCACCUUCAACUUGUCUUCAGUAUUAGAUAUUCGUUUGGAUAGUGACAAACUCUCUGGUGAACUCCCAGUAAAUAUUUGCAAUUAUCUUCACUAUUUAAAAGUCCUUUUUUUGGCCAAAAACAUGUUUCACGGUCAAAUACCACUGGCUUUAUCCAAGUGCAAACGGCUACAACUGUUAAAUUUGGGGUUCAAAAAAUUAUCAGGAGCCAUACCGAAAGAAAUCAGCAACUUGACUAUACUUCGAAAGAUAUCUCUCAGAAAUAAUAAACUUCGCGGUAUAAAUGUUUAUAAUAUAUACUUUGUAAAUGCUCUUAUUAAUCAUUCUUGAACUUUCUUAGAUACUUUUGUCUAAAUAAGAUUUUGCAAAAGAGUUUUUUGCAUCUCUGUUAAUUUUGCAGGCGAGAUACCUCACGAAAUUGGGUAUCUUCCAAAUCUAGAGAAUUUGGUGCUUGGAUUCAACAACCUAGUAGGUGUUGUACCUGCUGCAAUCUUCAACAUGUCAACAGUGAAAAAAAUUUACCUAUUAGAUAACUCUCUCUUGGGAAGUUUUUCAUUAGGAAUAGACCUUUCACUUCCUAACGUUGAGAGACUGAACCCGGGGCUGAACAGAUUUUCUGGAACCAUUCCUAGUUUCAUCACCAACGCAUCUAAACUUGUAUAUCUAGAUAUGGGAACAAACUCUUUUUCGGGCAUUAUUCCGAACACAAUUGGUAAUAAUCUAAGAAACGUUGACUGGCUCGACUUAACAUACAAUCGCUUGACAUCAUUAACUCUAGAAUUGAGCUUUCUUUCCUCUUUGACAAUUGCAAGAAAUUAAGAUUCUUAGGCUUAACAGGCAAUCCGCUUGACGGUGUCCUUCCAACUUCAAUAGGUAAUCUUUCUAUGUCUUUGGAAAACAUUUACAUCUCAAAUUGUAAUAUUGGUGGCAGCAUUCCUCAACUAAUCAGCAAUUUAAGCAAUUUGUUGCUCUUAGAUUUAGAAGGCAAUAAGUUGACUGGAUCAAUUCCAGUCACAUUCAGCCGGUUGCAGAAACUCCAGGGUUUAUAUCUUCCAUUUAACAAGUUAGCAGGAUCAAUCCCAGACCAGCUUUGCCAUUUAGCUAGACUGAAUACAUUAGGUUUGGCUGGUAAUAAGUUUUCUGGAUCAAUCCCUUCAUGUUUAGGUAAUCUCACUUCUCUAAGGUCUCCCGACUUAGGGUCCAAUAGGCUUACAUCAGUCUUGCCCUCAACUUUUUGGAAUCUAAAAGACAUCUUGUUCUUUGACCUUUCAUCAAAUUCUUUGGAUGGUCCUCUUUCUUUAGACAUAGGAAAUUUAAGGGUUGUGAUAGGAAUAAAUUUAUCACGAAAUAACUUUUCAGGUGAUAUCCCAAGUACAAUUGGAGAUCUAAAAGACUUACAGAAUAUCUCCUUAGCAUGUAAUGGAUUGGAAGGUCUAAUUCCUGAAUCAUUUGGUUACUUGACAGGUUUGGAAAUUUUAGAUUUGUCAAAUAACAAAAUCUUUGAGUUUAUUCCGAUAUCUUUUUAAAAACUCUUGUACCUCAAAGAGCUAAAUUUGUCUUUUAACAAACUAGAAGGAGAGAUUCCUAGGGGAGGACCUUUUGCAAAUUUCACAGCUAAGUCAUUCAUGGGAAAUGAGAAAUUGUGUGGUUUACCAAAUCUCCAAUUCCCAAAAUGCAAGCGUCGGACGCGUCGAAAAUCAAAGAAAAAGAUGCUUCUACUUGUGAUUGUCUUGCCAUUGAGUACUGCUCUAAUAAUCGCAGUCCCUCUAGCUCUAAAAUAUAAAUCGAUAAGAGGUGGAAAGAGUAGUACUAGGUUGUUAAAUGAUGGUAUCUUGCAUCACAAGAAACACUAAGAAGAUUUUCAUACCAAGAUCUUUUUCGUGCAACAGAAAAAUUUAGUAAAGAAAAUCUAAUUGGCGUAGGAAGUUUUGGUUCUGUUUAUCGAGGAAGAAUUCAUGAUGGAAUUGAGGUUGCAAUAAAAGUGUUUCACCAGAAUUGUGCAAUGGCAUUGAAGAGUUUUGAGGCUGAAUGUGAAGUGAUGAAAAAUAUUCGUCAUCGAAAUCAUGUCAAAAGAAUCAGUAGUUGUUCGAACGAAGAUUUCAAAGCAUUAGUUCUAUAAUAUAUGCCCAAUAGGAGCUUGGAGGAUUGCCUGCAUUCUACCAAUUGUUCGUUAAAUAUUUUUGACAAGUUGAACAUAAUGAUAGAUGUUGCAUCGGCUUUGGAAUAUCUCCACUUCAGUCAUUCAACUCCUGUCAUUCAUUGCGACUUAAAGCCCAAAAAUGUAUUGUUAGAUAAAAAUAUGGUUGCUCAUUUCAGUGAUUUUGGAAUUGGAAGGCUCUUAACUGGAGAUCGAUCAAUGAUACAAACAGAAACACUUGUCACAAUUGGUUAUAUGGCACCAGGUUUGCUCUGAAACAAUUUUUGUUUUUUUUUUUUGGGUUUUCAUUCAGACUUUCCAAAUUAUUAUUUUUCCAUGAUCCUUCUAUCCUAAUGUUAUUGAUUAUUUAUCUAAUGAUAAAAUCAAUUUGGUUGAUAUAAUAUGGCAUAGAAGGACGAGUAUCUACAAGAAGUGAUGUUUAUAGUUAUGGAAUUAUGUUAAUAGAAACAUUUACUAGGAAGAAACCCACAGAUGAAAUGUUUACUACAGAAUUGAGCUUAAAACUUUGGGUUAACAACUUGCUACCUGCUUCAUUGAUGGAAGUUGUGGACAAAACUCUUUAAGUAGGGAAGAAGAAGAUUUUGCUGCGAUGGAGCAAUGUGUGUUAUCAAUCUGAGUUUAGCCAUGGAGUACGUGAUGGAAAUGCCAGAAAAAAGGAUCGAUCCAAUAGAUAUUGUAACUAAACUAUUGAAAAUAAGAGACAUAUUGAGUAAAAGGUUAGCAAAUUUAGGUUAAUCUCAUUUCUUGGCAUUGAUACUUGAAUCAAUAUACACUUAAUUUGAAUCAAUGUAUGAGUGUAAGAAUAUGAUAUAUUUUCCUUUAAUUUUUUUUCCUGAGAGAAAUAUCAUAGCUGUCUUGUUUCAAAUUAAUUUUAUACUUUUUUUUCUUUUUCUAAGAUCAUGCCAAAGAGUUGUAGGAAGAUCAGCCACAAAUUCAAAGCCGGCUAAGGCAUUUGAAGAUGGAGAGAUUGGUAGUUUUUUUCCCAUUAAAAUUAAUAUAUAUCACUUAUCCCAACUAUUUUCAUAAUGCCUAAUAAGCUCUUGGCACCAUAACUUUACCAUAUAACCCUUAUUUUGAAAUACACUUUUAUUCAUAUUAAUAUUAAUUAAAUAAAUCAUAUGAGUUGAAAUUAAAAAUUAAAAAAUUAAAUACCAAAAAAAAGAAAUAUACGUUUUAGUGUGCUAAAAAAUUAAUAUUAAAAUAUUUUUCUUAUAUAUAUAUAUAUAUUAUUCUCAAAAUAAUGUAUCAAGCAAAUGACUUUUUUCUCUUCUUUUUCUUUAACUUUUUUUGUGCUAGUAGAGUUUUUAGAUAUUAUAAAAACAAUAAAAGAAUAAGUGAUAUAUAUUAAUUUCAGUUGAAAAUAACCAACAAUCCCCCUUUAAUUACGUGUCACACCCAACUUAUAAAUUCUAUCAAUCAUGUAAUUAUGGUUGGUUUCUCUUUUUCUUUUUUUUGCAUGUGUUUAGGUAGAAUAGUGGUUUGGUUGCACUCUAAGAAGUCAAACUACACUAAAAGAAUAUGAUUUAAUUUAUUAAACAUAACUUCAAGUUCAAGAAAAGUAUCUUAUUGCCCCCAAUGCUUUGGACACCUAUUGGUAGGUCUGUACGUGUCCUCAACUUUUUUUUGGAGCACAAAAUUCGAGUCCCAUGGAGACUCAAACAUUCCUUUCCUUCAUCCCGAGGGCGCCUUCUGUCCUCUGUUUCUGUUUCCACACACAAAUAGCAAAAAGAAAUUAGAAUGACAACUGGGACAUAUAUAAGAGUGAAAUAAUUAAAAAAUUAUGCUUUUUUGUUUGUCGUGUUAAAAUCGUAAGUACCGAUGUACUGUGAAAGAGAUUAAUUUACAGAAACUGAAGCCAAGGGUUCAAAAAAAAAGUGCAAAGAGAAUAAUUGUAUUGGUAGCACAAUGUCAUAUUCAUACAGAGAUCAAGUAUAUUAUUUACGGCUGGUAAGGACUAAGAAUUGAUGUAGCUAGAAUGCAAAGAUGAUAAGGUAUGUUGUGCACUAUUGUUUUAUUCUACAAUCAAUCUUGACCCUUGAUGCUUGGCUCUUAAUCUUGUCCAUUGAUCUGGUCAACUAUCUGGGAAGACAAUUAAUUGAGCUUGUUUCACAAUUAUAUGAAUCUGAAAGUUAAAUUUUAAAAAUUACAUUCGGACUCUACGUUUUCUAAUGAACAUUGGUUUGGCUUAUAAGCUUAUUAUGCUUAGGCUUAGGCUUGGUAAGAUUAUCGGUCGGUAGAUGAACAAGUUUUAGAGCUUUCGAAUUCAUGCCAAUUAAUUUUCAACUAGGCUAUUACCACAAUAAACAUUUAGAUGAACUAUUAUUGAAAUUUUAUUGAGAAGUGGAACAUGUCGCAUACCAAUGCACGGACAUAUCUUCAAAUAGUGGUAACUCCACACAACAUGGCACAACAAAUUAAGAGUUAUAUAGAUAAAAUCUUUCUACAAUUACAAUAGAUUGAAUUUAGUAAGAAAUUGAUUGUUAUCAUUUUUCUCAUGGAAAAGUUGUUUGGAUUACAAUAGAUUGAAUUUAUGUUCAAAUAUUCAACACGGCAUGCACCACGCGACUGAACUUGCAGAAGGAGAGGUCCAUUUUCAUUUUCAGCAUCACAGAAAUCUAAAUUUGUUCAUUAUAUAUUCUGAUCAGCACUUGAACAUCCAUGCAUACUCCUAUUAAUUAUAUCCUCUAAUGGAGAGAACUCAUUGCCUCAGUAUGAUCACUGUGUCAUCAACCCACUGCCCGCUUCUUUGCUUGGUUGUUGCAGCAAGCAACAAUAUUACCACAGAUCAACAAUAGUUUGUCCAUUUGUUUCAGUGAGGUCGUCAUUAAAAAUUAAUUUUCAUAUUGAUUUUCUUAAUUAUAAAUAAUACUAAUGAUAUUUCAUAGUUAUAAAUAUAUUAGAAUUAAUCAAAAUCAUUUUUUAGUGCGGCAUGGCUAAAACUACCUUCUUCUUUUUUUUUUAUAAGUAAUUACUACUUUAAGGAAAAUACUCCUAUUUUCAGGGAAAAGUCAAGUACCUGUAGUUGUGAAGACUCGAGCUCACCCUCUUAUGAUAAAUCUUCAUAUCAAUUACAUAAAUAUCCUCUAAGUUUUUAGUUAACUAUUCAAAAUUCGAUGUUAUACGGGUAUUUCAUUUAUUUGAGUAGGGGUUAGGGGUCAAUUGGAUACAAAUUCAAAAUUAUCCUUACUUGAGAAGGUGAUAAAAAUUGGGGAUUUAGUUUGGGUGUCAUUAGCUACAAAUAUUAAACUCAUACAUCUAAUUCAAAAUUGCAUCCAGGUUCAUUGCAGCUAAGGCUUGUGGAAUUUCCUCAGUAAGAUGUGAGUAGUCAUACCUACGUCGACAUUCAAUGGCUGUAUGUUUCGGUAAAUGACAAAUUUGGCAUAUGACAGUUUCUUCAUUGACUUCCUCAGCUUGUUGUUUGGAUUGAUUCUGAAUUUUGUGCCAAGGCUGUCCAGAAUUAUUUUGUCGAGGUUGCUGCCACUGUUGUCCCGAAUUUCCUUGCCAUGAUUGUUGCCCUUGUUGACUUGGAUUAUUGUUUGAUUUUUGCCAUGGCUGACUUGCAUUAUUAUUCCAACUUUUUCCACCAUUGUAGUUGAUUUUUUGACCACUUGAAUCAGCCAAAUUUUGUCCUCCUGCUGCUGUAAAACCACGACCUUUUGAGUUAAAGAAACCUCCAUUUCCACGACCUUUUCCCUUGCCUCGUUGGCUAAAAAAGGCUUGAGCCAGAUUGAUUGUAUUCUUCUUUUCUUCUUCAAAAUUAAUAAGAGUUUGUUCAUGAUUUUCGAGGGCCAUGACAAACUGCUUAAAUGAGGGAUAAGGUGGUUUUGAAAGUUGAGCAAGUUUGAAGUCUUGACUUUAUCGAAGUCAUUCACUGGUUUAUUUAUUGCAGCCAAACAAUCACAGAUAUGCUUGUAUUUGCGCACAUACUCUUCAACUGAUAGAGAUCCCUUUUUAAACCGAGAGAAUUACUAUAUUUACACAAUUAACCUUGGCUAGAAUUAAUUGUCCAGAUUGGAUGAUAACUAGAGAAUAGAAAUGAAGAAAAGGAAGCACACAACACCGAGAAGAGUAAUAAUUAAUGCUGCCAUUGACGAAAUGUUUUAUAUUACUCUUCUUUCUUGGUAUUUAUUUAUUUACAAUUUUUAAUGUAAAUAUACAGUUGUUGGGCUAAUAUCUUAUUUACUUUUGAAUGUAUUAGAUGCCUUUUCUUUUUUCUUGGUUCAUAAUAAUUUUGUAGAAAUUCCUCAAGUUUCCCUAAAUGAUAGCACAUAUUCAUAAUUGGAUUGAUUGAGUAAUAAUAAAAUAUAUUUAUUUGGCAAACGGCAGUUAGGCUUUCUUCUGAUGCAGAUUAAUUAGAGAGAAUAUAUAACAAUUUUAAGCUCGUCAGAUUCGGAACCUGCUUAUCUGUCGUGUGGGGAUCACUUCUGUGUCUUAUUUUUCUAGAAAAAUCUGGACCAUUGGAUUUCCCAUUAUUCAAUAGAUAAAUGUUUGAUCUUGAUUCUUGAUUAAGAUCGAAGUUUGAUUCUAACCAAAAUGAUGUCAGAUUCAGAUUGCGAAGCAAGCAAAUUGAAAGUAACUUGUUCUAUUUUGAUAAACACUAGUUCUAAUAAAAAAUUUCUAAGUGUAUAUAUUUUUUUUAUUGUGUUCAAUUUAACUAGUCAAAUCUAUUUUUAAAUAUUUUAUUAACAAUGAUAUGAAAAUAUUCGAACCCCUUGUCAUUGUAAAGUGAAUUACUAUCCAACUACACCAAAUAAUGUUUUCAAAUUGUAAACUGCAAAUCGUGUGUUUGCUCCAUUACAGCGUUUCUUCAAUUUAAAAAAGAGAAUCAUUUGCAUUCUAGAUUAAUCGUGGGUCUAUAUCCAAAUCUAAAAAUUGACUAAAUUCUUAAUCCUAACAAGAAAAAUUGAAGAUUAAAAACGACUAAUUUGGUACCAUACCACUAUUGUAACAUAGGUGGAUCCUCUAUUAAUUGGAGUAAAGAUUGAAUUAUCUCAUUUAUUAAGAUUUAUCAAAAUCUUGUAUCAAAAUCUAUUAAUGAUAUAGGUUCAAGGAUGAAAGAGUCACUUCAUUACUUUUGAGUUCCCAAAUAGAUGAAUGGAUGUUAUUUUUGGAUAGGUGCUAAAUCGAAUUAAGUUGUAGAUAAGAUAGAAAUGGAUUUGGAGAGAUUGGAAUCCUAGGUAAUCCGGUGCACGUUGUCGUGUUAAAUUCUCGUUGACUUCACGUUGACUGAAGCAUUAUUGGAAGAAACAAGUUUAUUGAGGUGAGGCCUUUGAGAUUGUAAGUGUUAAAUCUGAGAAGAAUACCCACACACCCAUUAUCCUAUUACUCUUAUAUCACAUGAAGAGAAUUCAACAUUUGAUUCACAUGGAACAAAAUUGUGAGGAUUGCGAGGGUUGAUGGAAUAUAAUUUAGAUACAAAGUGUUUACCAGUGCGAUGCUUCACAAGUGUUUUCAAUCAUAGUGAUUGUUUUAUCUGCACGUGGAUAUAAUCACAUGUCAGAAUUUUUUUCCUUAAAUUAUGAUCUUAUUUAGUACUGAGGUGUUAUAUCUUUUAAUGUACAAUUAUUGUUGGAAAAAAGUUGCAACUAUCAAAUAAAAUUAAUACUAUGUGCUAAAUAUAAUUGUUAAAUAAUAAUUUUGACAAAAUUAGUGAAGUUAAAUAGAUUUUUUUUUUAUCAUCCAAGUAUAAAAUCAAAUCAACUUAACUUCUAAGUUCUAUAUCGGCUACUGUUUAUCAUAUCUUUUAGUUUUGUAACUUUAAAGUUAUAGUUACCCAACCUCAAUUCUAAACAAGACCUAUAAAGAUCAAAGAUUUCCUCAUUAAAUUAUAUGUCUUGUGAUUGCUUAUUUAAUUUAUAUUUUUGUUAUUUAUCUUUAUUAAUUAUAAUCAUCUUUUUAUAAAUUAAAAUUGAAGGAAGUUGAUUGAUGUUGUUGACACACACACACACACACACGCACGCACACACUCGCAAAGAUAUAUUGGAAGUGCUUACGUCGACUCGAAGUUGUUGGGAAUUAAUGCAUGUAUUGAUUUAUUGGGAGUGUUUAAAUUGAUUUAUUAAUUGAAUAUUGUUUGAUUGCUUCAUAUCCAUUCUAGAAAGUUUAUUUCUUUGUGAAAUUUCAACGAAAUAUGUUUUUUUUUUUAAAUAAGGGUGUUCUAAAUCAUUUUAAAAAAUAUAUGGACUAAUUAGAAUUAAUUAUUAGGUAAUUAACUCAAUUUGUACAGGGUGAAACAACAUUUAUCCUAAUUAUAUCAUGAUAAAUACUUUUCUGAUUAGAAUUAGGAAAUCAUAGGUUAUUGAAUUGUUUUUUUUUUCCUUUGCGAAUGGAUUAGAGAAUUAGAAAACAUCAUGUUGAUGUCAAAAUCUGAUCUAGUCNNNNNNNNNNNNNNNNNNNNNNNNNNNNNNNNNNNNNNNNNNNNNNNNNNNNNNNNNNNNNNNNNNNNNNNNNNNNNNNNNNNNNNNNNNNNNNNNNNNNAGCAUUAAAUUUAUUUGGUAGAGAAUUGGCUGGUCAAUUGUCAAGAUGUCCUGCAAUCACUAGCGAUUAACCUACGAAUACCUGAAAUCACAAAAGACGGUAAGAGGCACUAGAAAUUUUUUCGGCGUGAACCUUCUGACGCUCAAGUCAGUUUAUAGGUUUACCAUAAUAAAAAUAAAUAAUUUCUAUUUAAAACAAAAAAUAAAGUUCAAAAGCUCAAAAAUAAAACCCAAUCCCAAUAUGAAAAUGAAUUUCUUUUUUUUUUUUAGCUUGGCCGAAUCCUUCUGCCUCCUAAAGAAACAUAAUAGAGAAGCAGGUAGCCAUGUUCCCUAGGUAACGCCCCACUCCCCUCUUUUAUUCCUCCCCCUCUCUUCCGUUUCCUUCUUUUGCUCACUAUCCUUUAUAAUUUUUUAUGCUUGUCUUCCCAAAAUAGCCUUUGAAUACACAAGUACAUGUCUAGCCUUUGGUGAGGAUAGUUUGGUCAUUGCAUUUUACAAGUAAGAUGAGUGGUGGAGAAAAAUGAGGAGUGCACAUAACUCUUCAGCAAAUCCCACCAACAAUUCCAUUUUCUUAAUUAAUUAAUCUCCUUUUUUAUCCCCAAACAAAUCCUAAUGAUACUCUUAUCAGGUUUAAAACAGUACACAAAUAGUGAAAAGCUAACUAGUCUGUAGAGUAAUUUGCUAAUUGCUAUCUCCUCUCUACGCGCGCUGAAUAAUUUGUUGCAUGCAAACUUUUUAUUUUAUGCAAAUCGUACGUACUGUAACAUUGGAAUUGAUGGAUAAGCAAAAAUACAAUAAUAUUUAUGCCAAUAAAAAUAGUUUUUUUUCCUUUUUAAAUAAACACAACGCGAUGUUGCUCUGCUCUACAUUUUUGCUAUCUCUUUAUUCUUUUUUUUUUUUUGGGCUUCUUAAAGCCUCAAACUUUGACAACCAAAACUUCAUCGACCUAUGAAAAAAUCUGCAGAUUAGUUUUUAUUAUCGGAAUAAUUGUUUGAGAAUACUAAAACAAAAUAUAAAAUAAGAAAAUACGGGGUUAAAUUUGGGGAAAACAAAAAGGCAUGUUCUAUCGAUUACUAUAGUUUAAGAAAACAAAAUCCAAUUGGGAAUUUUUUUCUUUAAUUUUUGUUUUACUUGAUUGAGAUUUCUCCUUAGUCCUUACAGUUUUAAGUUUGGAUGCCGUAGGGUUAGUAAUUUAGUACUUCCUUUGCAAGCUGAGGGCAAGAAUGAAAAUCUUUAAAGAAAUUAAAAAAGAUUAAAAAAAAGCAUACCAAUAGGUAAUUAUAAAUAACCAUAAAUAAACAUAAACAAAAUAUUUAUGAAGUAAAUUACACAUGCACAUAUUAUUUUUUUGUUUUAUUUCUUACUUGUCUAUUUUAUUUGUCUAUUUUAUUUGCUGCUUGAUAACCCGUAAAUACUAAUCUAGUACUGCUAAUUUCAGACACAAAAUUUUUAACUCUAGGCUGCAGUUUUGCUCAAAAUGAUGACCACUGGCUUCGCACCAUUUAACCGGCAUACAUUUCUACAAAUUGAACAAGGCUAUUGAUUUUCAUUAUUAUUUUUUAUUUAUUUAUAAAUUACUAUUUUAAUUUUCACUUUUUAUUGGGUUGUUUACAAUUUUAUUUUAUAAUUUCAAAUUUGUAUUUUAAAAUGCAGGUACAUUAUGUAUACAUAAUUAUUGAUUUUCAUAUGUGGGUGUUUUGAAAUAUUGCUAAAAGACCAAACUUAAUAAACUAUUUUUCAUCUUUUUUUCCCUUUUUUCCUAAAGGUUGAGUGAUAUCCGCAUUUUAAAUUCAUGUGGAACAAAAGCUAAUGAAUGCACAAAAUUCUUUUAUUUUUUCCGAGAAAAAUGGGUAAGAGAAGAAGAUUUUUCUCUUGAAAAAGAAAAACUAAUACGAUGCAAACAUAGGAAAGAGGUCAGUGUUUUGGAUUAGAAUUUAUUAUUGACCUGAAUUUUAUACUAAACUCUUUUAUAGUACUGCGAUUAAUGAACUCAUGAUUUGCUUUUGCUUUUACUUCAAGUGAAAGAAAGAGGAAACCUUUUGUUUUUUGUUUGAUUCUUGACUAUAGAUGUUACCUAUAUAGAGAGUUGAGGUAGCUGCCUUAAGUGAUGGUGAUAAAAAGAUUAAGCAGCGCACAAAAUCUGACUGUCGUCCAGACCAUCCAGCUGUGAUGGCUCUAGUUUUUUGGUUACAUUAGCUUUAGUGGAAAGGAGGGCCAAUUUAACAAAGACUAGAUUUGGUGGCUUACUAUAAUGCUUAUUCUCAAGGAAUCUAAUGUUAUAAGAUGAUUUAAUGAUCUUCUAUGAUUGUGAGUAGUAUAGUAUAAUUGAAAAGAGCCUGGGCUCCUAUGAUGAAUAUUUAAUAGUAACACAAUAUUGUGAUUGAAAAAAACACUGUUACAAUAAACUCUUCAUUUAUUCAUUGCGGAUAUUGAAUGGCAAACAGAGAAUAAAAUGAAGCAGAGGAAUCUCAUUGCUAGUAAAAUUGACCCUCUUUAAUGUUAUAUGGCACAGGUGUGUGUACAGCAAGAGCAAGUGACUUGCAGUUUUUUUUUGUAAAAUAUACAGGUUAUGACCAUGAUCAUUGUAGUUAGGUUUUGAUGAUUUUAGAUGCUUUUUUUAUUUUUUUUAAAUUGUGACACCUUUGAUUUAUGGUAGUUUUGCAGAAGAAAAAAAUAUAUAAAAAAAUUAGGAAGAAUGAGUUAACUAACAAUUGCAAUCAUUACAACAAUGUUGAUGAGUGAUACAUCAUUUGAAAUUUACUUGUCAGUUGCUAAAAUGAUGAAAAAAAACAAUAAACAAUAGCAGUAAUAUUUUUAUGGAAAUUCUUGGUUUUUAUGGAAAUACUCUUGCUGAAAUUCUAAUUUUGACUUUCAACUCUUGGUUUUUAUGGAAAGUAAAAUGACUUGUUUUUUAUAUUCAUACAAUCCACUCUACAUAAUGAUUUCAUUUUAAUAAAUGCUUGAUGAUCUCCACUGAAAAACUACUUCAAUUCUUUUGUUUUAUUUAACUUUUUGGUUGUUGAAAAUAGCCUUAAUUUUCAAAUAACUGGAGAAAGAGUAAAGAACAUUUAACAAAUUUAUGUGCCAAAAAUAAAGGAGAAAUUGAAGAGAAAGGGUGCUUGCAGAAGUGGGUGCAAAGAUAAAUCAGUCUAUAAGAAUUAUUGUGGUUAUUAAUUUUUUGGCAAUAUAAAAAAUUUUCAGCAAAUAAAAAUUGAUUUUUUCCAAUUUACUAAAAAAUUAAUUAAAAACUUUGGCGAUAGCAUUUUUUGUUGGUGCAUGUACCCUCCCUUUUAAAAAAAUAUAAUAAUUAAUACUUAAUAUAAUAUUAAAUACGAAAAUAUCAAUAUUUGACUACACAAAUUUAUAUCAUUAGGUCCUUAAAAUUUAAAAUUGAAGACAUAGAAUGAAAUAUAUAAAUAUAUAUAAAUUUUAUAAUCUUAAAAUAUUUGAAAGAUUUUUUAAAACAAAUGUAAUUUUAUUUGUGUACAAUCAAUAUUUACUUAUUUAUUAUAUUUUUAUUCAUUAACUAUCAAUCAUGUGAGUAUAUCUACUUAGAAAUAUCAUAUCAAGGGAGAAUCUUGAUCCCACGCACACGCAAAUAUGUUAAUUUCUAUACGCUUCACUUACCUGUAGAAUCAAUUAUCUAAAAUGCAAGUUUGUGGCCACAAAAAAGGCCAAAGAAAGAAGAUAAUAACAAUUGACUUGUAUAUUAUACUCAUACAAUCCACUCGACAUAAUGAUAUCAUUUUAACAAGGCAAUGGCUGAUGAUCUCCAUUGAAAAACUAAUUCAUUUCUUUUGCUUCAUUUAACUUUUUGGUUGUUGAAAAUAACCUUAAUGAUCAAAUUUAUGUGCAAAAAAAAAAGGAGAAGUUGAAGAGAAAGGGUGCUUGCAGAAGUGGAUGUCAAAGAAAAAUCGGUCCAUAAGAAUUAUUGCGGUUAUUUUUUGGCAAUAUAAAAUUUUUAUAGCAUGUAAAAAUUAAUUUUUUUUCCGAUUUACUAAAAAAUUAACUAAAAACUUCUGCGACAGCAUUUUUUAUGGGUGCAUAUACCCUCCCUUUAAAAAAAAUAUAAUAAUUAAUGCUUAAUAUAGUAUUAAAUACGAAAAUAUCAAUAUUUGACAACUCAAAUUUAUAUCAUUAGGUCCUUAAAAUUUAAAAUUGAAGACACGAAAAGAAAUAUAUAAAAAUUUCAUUCUCAUGGAAAGGAUUCUCUUAUAAUCUUAUAAUAUUUGAGUUCUGAAAUUUUUUUGAAACAAAUGUAAUUUUAUUUGUGUACAAUCAAUAUUUACUUAUUUAUUAUAUUUUAAUUUAUUAACUAUCAAUCAUGUAAGUAUAUUUAGUCAGAAAAAUUAUAUCAAGAGAGAAUUCUAAUUUCACACAAACACAAAUACAAGACAAAUAUGUCAAUUUCUAUACUAUUCACUUUCCUGUAGAAUCAAUUAUCUAAAAUGGAAGUUUGUGGCUACAGCAAACUCGCCAAAGAAAGAAGAUAAUAACAAUUGAGCAUUGAUAGCAAAACUAAUGCAUCAUUUUCUUCUUGACUUGAUGAGAUGGCGCCAUUACAAAAAAACAAGUACCUUAAUUGACGGGCACUGAGUGAUGUGAAUACUACCAGCCAGUUCAUCUCUUCCAGUCUUGCUUAAUCACAAUCACAAACACCACGAGAUUGACAUUUGCAUUAUAUAUAUGUUCAGCAAUCGAAACACCUUGCAUUACCAAAUUAACCGCUAACAAACAAAGCAAUCUUUCAGGGAGAGAAACUUUAGUCUCAGUAUGAUCACUGUGUCAUUAACCCACUUCCUGCUUCUUUGCUUGGUUGUUGUAGCAGCAGCAGCAGCAAGCAACAAUAUUACCACAGACCAACAAGCUCUUCUUGCCCUGAAAGAUCAUAUAAUUUAUGAUCCGACCAACCUUUUUGCCCAUAAUUGGACCUCGAAUACCUCUGUUUGUACCUGGAUUGGCAUCACUUGUGAUGUCAAUAGCCAUAGAGUCGCAGCCUUAGAUAUUUCUCAAUUCAAUCUACAAGGCACCAUCCCUCCUCAACUUGGAAACCUCUCUUCACUCACAACGCUUAAUCUUAGUCAUAACAAGCUUUCUGGAAACGUUCCCUCCUCCAUCUACACAAUGCAUACGCUAAAAUUUCUUGACUUCACUGAUAACCAGCUCUCUGGUUCGGUGUCUUCCUUCGUCUUCAACAUGUCUUCAAUAGUAGAAAUUCGUUUGACCAAUAACAGAUUUUCUGGUGAGCUUCCGAAAAAUAUUUGCAACUAUCUUCCUUAUUUGAAAGCCCUUUUCUUAAAAAAAAACAUGUUUCAUGGCAAAAUUCCUUCUGCUUUAUCAAAGUGCAAAACUCUGCAAAUAUUAUUGUUGCAGUUCAAUAAUUUAUCCGGUGCAAUACCAAAAGAAAUCGGCAACUUGACUAUGCUCAAAGGGAUAUCUCUAUUAUGCAACAAACUCCACGGUAUGUUCAUAAUACUAUGUAAAUAUUUUAAUUUCUCACUUGUUAUUUUUCUUGAAUACUUUAGAUAAGAUCUUGUAACAGAGAUUUUUUUGCAUCUAUGUUAAUUUGCCAGGUGAGAUACCCCACGAAAUCGCUAAUCUUCGAAAUCUAGAGGCUUUAGUGCUUGGAAUGAACAACCUAGUUGGUGUGUUACCAGCUCCAAUCUUCAACAUGUCAACACUGAAGGUACUUAUCCUCAUGGAUAACUCUCUCAGUGGAAGUCUACCAUCAAGAAUAGACCUUUCACUUCCAACUGUUGAGUUUCUUGAGUUGGCACAUAAUAGAUUUUCUGGAACCAUUCCUAGUUCCAUCACCAAUGCUUCUAAGCUCAC
rnacentral:lncRNA from 1 species